UUGCCCAUCCGGCCACGGCCACUUUGGCCGCAGCGAACCUCUGAAGCCUGAACUCGGCGAUGUGAGAUGAGAGAGGAGAGACUGGCAAAAGAAGAGGACUGCCAUUCUGCCAACAAGGCAGAGAGAGUACUCGUCACCCUCACCGGCCAGUCGGCCACACUCGAGUGUCUGGACGACCGUCGUCCGUCGUGUCGCCACCACACACUCACACUGCGACACACAGCGCCGCGCCGCAUCCGUCCACGAUCCAUCGGCAUCGGCAUCGGCAUCGGCAUCGGCGGCCAUGUGAAGCGCGGCCCCCGCCACCGCCACCGGCGCGCGAUCGAGCUGAGCUGCGAGGAGAGGAGAGGCAGCGAGGCAGGCUGCCACAUGGGCGGGAGACACGCACCGGCGUUGCCAACCUCACCGGGGGACAGCCGUCUCGUCGAUCUGGUGAGUGACUGUUGUCUGCUGGUGUGCGCAGGCGCAGGCGCCAUGGAUCUGGAUGAUGGAUGGAUGGCCGGUGUCGAAACUAGAUUUCGGCAAUAAUAAAAGUGUAUG